UUCGGAUUGUAGGCUGAAACUCGCCUACAUGAAGCUGGAAUUGCUAGUAAUCACAGGUCAGCAUACUGCGGUGAAUACGUUCCCGGGCCUUGUACACACCGCCCGUCACACCAUGAGAGUUGAGAAUACCCGAAGCCCAUGUCAAAGUGGUCGAAGGUAGGCUUGAUGAUUGGGGUGAAGUCGUAACAAGGUACC
rnacentral:rRNA from 1 species